CCCCCGCCCUUGGCUGCCGCGGUCAUGGCUCUGCCUCCGCCCCGGGCAGGCGCGGGGGGAGCCAGCAGGAAAUCCUGCAAGGAAGGAUUGCAAUUGACGAGGGGCAGCUGCGGAUUUCCCCGAAAUGAGAAGACUGGAGGAGAAAGAUCCUCCCCUCCUCCUCAAGGCCACGGAGCCAGUUGGCAGCAGCAUCUCAGGGACAUCGGCACUUGAUCUUCAUUGUAAUGUCAUUAGUAGUGAAAAAAAUGUCUCUGGUGUAAAAGACAGUGCUGCAAAAACAUCACCAACAUGAACAAAUGAAAUGAGAACUAUUUGAUCAAUCAGCUGUUCAGUGACUUCAGGAAAGCAGAAGGAAUAUAAACUGAAAUUACUGCAUUUCAUGAGAGAACAAAAUAUGAAGAAUAAGGCAUCACAAAACAAAAAAUGCAUAGAAGAGCAGAGAAGUGGCUUGUCUGAGGAAAGAAGACAUUGACCC